CGAGCCCGCGAGGGGGAGGCGAAUCCCAAAAAUAAACGUCCCAGUUCGGAUUGUAGUCUGCAACCCGACUACAUGAAGCUGGAAUCGCUAGUAAUCGCGGAUCAGAAUGCCGCGGUGAAUACGUUCCCGGGUCUUGUACACACCGCCCGUCACACCAUGGGAGUCGGAAAUGCCCGAAGUCAGUGACCCAACCACAACGUGAACUUCGUUCGCGUGGAGGGAGCUGCCGAAGGUGGAGCCGGUAACUGGGGUGAAGUCGUAACAAGGUAAC
rnacentral:rRNA from 1 species